rnacentral:rRNA from 1 species
ACGAACGCUGGCGGCGUGCUUAACACAUGCAAGUCGAACGAAGUCAGGACGAAGUAUUUCGGUACAGAGGUCUGACUGAGUGGCGAACGGGUGAGUAACACGUGGGGAACCUGCCCUAGACUGGGGAAUAACAUUGUGAAAACAGUGCUAAUACCGCAUAAGAGGUACCGAGGCAUCUCGGAGCCUUGAAAGUAGCGAUACGGUCUUCGAUGGACCCGCGUCCAAUUAGCCAGUUGGUGAGGUAACGGCCCACCAAAGCUACGAUUGGUAGCCGAACUGAGAGGUUGAUCGGCCACAUUGGGACUGAGACACGGCCCAGACUCCUACGGGAGGCAGCAGUGGGGAAUAUUGGGCAAUGGGCGCAAGCCUGACCCAGCGACGCCGCGUGAAGGAUGAAGGUUUUCGGAUUGUAAACUUCUUUGAUCAGGGAAGAAAGAAAUGACGGUACCUGAAGAACAAGCCACGGCUAACUACGU